AUUGAACGCUGGCGGCAGGCCUAACACAUGCAAGUCGAGCGGAGCGGCGGACGGGUGAGUAAUGCCUAAGAAUCUGCCUGGUAGUGGGGGAUAACGUCCGGAAACGGACGCUAAUACCUCCUAAUCUCCGAUGAGCAUAGGUCGGAGUAGCUAUUUGGUGGGGUAAAGGCAUACCAAGUCGACGAUCCGUAACUGGUCUGAGAGGCUGAUCAGUCACACUGGAACUGAGACACUGUCCAGAUUCUGACGGUAGGCAGCAGUGGGGAAUAUUGGACAAUGGGCGAAAGCCUGAUCCAGCCAUGCCGCGUGUGUGAAGAAGGUCUUCGGAUUGUAAAGCACUUUAAGUUGGGAGGCGUUACCAACAGAAUAAGCACCGGCUAACUUCGUGCCAGCAGCCGCGGUAAUAC
rnacentral:rRNA from 1 species